rnacentral:rRNA from 1 species
UGAGGAAUAUUGGUCAAUGGGCGAGAGCCUGAACCAGCCAAGUCGCGUGAGGGAAGACGGUCCUAAGGAUUGUAAACCUCUUUUGUCGGGGAACAACGAGUUGCACGCGUGCGACAGUGAGGGUACCCGAAGAAAAAGCAUCGGCUAACUCCGUGCCAGCAGCCGCGGUAAUACGGAGGAUGCGAGCGUUAUCCGGAUUUAUUGGGUUUAAAGGGUGCGCAGGCGGCGUGCCAAGUCAGCGGUCAAAGUUCCGGGCUCAACCCGGUGAUGCCGUUGAAACUGGUGUGCUUGAGUGCGUGCGAGGGAGGCGGAAUGCGUUGUGUAGCGGUGAAAUGCAUAGAUAUGACGCAGAACUCCGAUUGCGAAGGCAGCUUUCCAGCACGCCACUGACGCUGAGGCACGAAAGCGUGGGUAUCGAACAGGAUUAGAUACCCUGGUAGU